GAUCUUCCCGGACCAGGGCUCGAACCCGUGUCCCCUGCAUUGGCAGGCAGAUUCUUAACCAUUGUGCCACCAGGGAAGUCCCUAGCGUAAAUAUUUGAGAUGCAUCCAUAUUAUUGCAGGCACCAUGAGCUUGUUCCCUCUUAUUGCUGAGUAGUAUUCCAUGAAAUGAAUGUACUGCAAUUUGUUUAUCCAUUCAACAGUUGAUGGACGUUUGGAUUGUUUCUAGUUUUUGGUUAUUAUGAAUAAAACUGCUGGGGGGCUUCCCUGGUGGCGCACUGGUCUGGGAGGAUCCCACAUGCCGCGGAGCGGCUGGGCCCGUGAGCCAUGGCCGCUGAGCCUGCGCGUCCGGAGCCUGUGCUCCGCAGCGGGAGGGGCCACAACAGUGAGAGGCCCGCGUACCGCAAAAAAAACAAAACAAAAAACGUGCUGGGAACAUUUGAGUAGGAGACUUGUGUGUAUAGUAAUGAAAUGCACAUUUUCAUUUCUCUUCGCUAAAUACCUGAGAGGGAUUGGUGAGUAUGUAUAUUUUUAACUUUAUAAAAACUGCCAAACUCUUUUCUGAUGGGUUUGAGAAUGGGCUCUACCAUUUUGCGUUCCCACAGUCAAACGAAUGAGGGCUCUGGUCUCUGCACAUCCUUGUCAGCAUCCUAGUCAGCGUAGUUUAAAAAAUUUUAGCCGUUCAAUGGGUGGUGUAAUGGUGUCCCAUUGUGGUUUUAAUCUGCAUUUCCUUAGAUGUUAAGCAUCUUCUCCUGUGUUUGCAAUUUGUAUAUCUUUAGUGAAAUGUCUAACGUAGUUUUUUUGUCCUGUUUUUUAGUUGUUUUCCUUGUUGAGUUUCACGGAUACAAGUCUUUUAUCAGACAUGUUUUGUAAAUAUUUUCUCCCAAUCUGUGAGAGAAAGCAGUCUGCCUCGUUCCUGAUUGCACAGUGAGAACAUUCAGUCUUCACCAGUAAGUACAGCCUUUGCUGUGGGUUUUUUGGUAGCUGCUCCUUACCCAGUUGAAGAAGUUUCUUUCUAUUCCUAGUUUGCUGAGAGUUCUUAACAUGAAUCGAUGUUGAAUUAUGUCAAAUACUCUUUCUGAAUCUGUUGAGAUGAACUUGUGUUUUCUCUUUUUGCAUUUGUUAAGAUGGUGAAUGACAUCAAUUGGUCUUGAAUAUUAAACCAACUUCGCAUUCCUGCGAUGAAUUCCACUUGAUCAUAAGACUGUGAAGUGAUGGCCACGUGUGAUCUGAGGUGUGGUCGAGCUUCAUCUUCUCCACACGGAUGCACAACAUCCCAACGCCUUCUGUGAUGGAGACCGUCUUUCCCCUCCCCUGCUCUGUAGCACCACCUCUGUCACAAGUGCAAGAAGUGUGAAUCUGCCAGUCUUUCUGGGGUGUUCACGCCAUUGGUCUCCUGGCCCCCUUGGGGGAGAUCCUGCCCACUGAGACACAGUCUUCAAUCCCCCAGAGACUGGGAUGCUCUGAAGCCGGGCUCGGUGCCUGGGGCCUGGCUCCCUUGACUCUCGGCAUUCUUGGAGGGGUUGCCCGCUUCUUGACGGGUGCGUCCUGACCCCAGGCUCGUCCCCCUGACCCCACAUGGCUGGCCAAAGCUCGCUCAGCCAUUGUUUCCAGUACCAGCAGCUCCGUUCUCCUUUGUUUUCUUAUAUGUUGUCCGGCCCUUCUAGAUGUUCUCAGCGGGACAGGAACUAGCCCUUGAUGACAGGAAACCCAGAGUCUAGUCAGGCUUAAUUUAAGGGAAACUAGCGUAGAUCUAAGGACAGCUCGUCUACUCAGAGGCCGUGAUGAAAAGCGUCUUGGUCUGUGCUGUCACAGCCGAGUGACAUCAACAGAGCGCCUCGACUGGAUAAAUGACGUCUCCAGAGGGAUGGGCUCGGCUGCUCUCGACUCUCUUUCAUCUGAGAUCUGUUGCUUUACUGGGUCUUCUGGACGUUCAGGGAAGAGAGGAGGCUGCUUUGCCACAGAAACUCGAUUUGCCCAUCAGAAGCCAUGUGGAAUGUGAGCUCCUGGCUGUGGAUCGCUGGACUGCCCUGCAAGGUCACGAACCUCGGAGGGUGAAGGACGGGGGUGCACGGAUGCCGCCACCGCCAACUCCUGAUGCGGACAGGCCGAACACGGGGCGACCGGACUCAAAGGCUCUCUUCUGCCCAGAACUGAGCUCCUUUGUUCCCAACACUAUAACCUUGAAGCAACACUCUGCUGCAACUCUCUGCAAGUCAGAAUUAAGUAAAAGCAUUUGGACAGUUGUACGCCUGUGACACAGGGCCGUCUUUGUUUACCCCCAGGCCUGGGCAGCGACCCUGUCUUCUUGCUGUUAUCACUCUGACGCAGCUCGUAGGGGCCUUGAAAGUCUGUGGGACUGUCCGACCACUCCAAGCAGGAAGAGCCGUGUUGUCAGAUGUGCACAUCAGCAUAGGAGGUGCAGCCAUCCCAUCCCGGUGACAGUGGGCUUGAUCCGACCAAAGACAGAAGCGCAGGGCCUUUAUCCACCGGACGUGAGGAUGGCGAGGCCGGACGGGGACUCGGCCCCUCACGGCCCCGCUCCAGCCUCUGAGUCCACAGAGAGGCCGCACCUCAUUGCUCAGGGUUCCGCCCUCCAACAGUAGAAAACCACCUGGUCCCCGUCCACCCUCAUCCUGCCAUCGCCCUUCCACUUCAGCGCUGACCCUGACCACAAGUCUUAAGCUCUCAGAUUGUUCCAAACACAGCAGCGACAUAAACAACCAGGUCCUACUGUACAGCCCAGGGAGCUGUAUUCAAUGUCCCGUGAUAAACCAUAAGGGAAAAGAAUAUGAAAAGGAACGUAUAUAUGUGUAUAACUGAAUCCCUUUACUGUACAGCAGAAAUUAACACAACACUGUAAAUCAACUAUACGUCAAUAAAAUUUUAAAAACAAACAAACAGCAGUGACAAAGCAGGGA